UCCGGAACGAAAGAGGCUGUUGUUGAGAGUUGAGAAACAGCCUCUCUUUCUUUCCUACCAGCUUCCCAGCACUCUUUAAAUAAAAUCAAGCUGACUCACUGUCUCUCCUGGCCAAGUUAGAGGGAUUAUGCUGCCCAAGCUUCAGAAAUCAGACUAAUUCAACCCAAAACGGGUACUCGACCCACUCCCAGCUCACGUUCCAACUCUUAUUACUUGCGAAACUCGCAGCACAAAGUUGAAAGCUGCUAUCCCCCCUCAGAAAUCCGUAGUUUCUGCCUUUCGAUGGCUGGGGUCAAACUGGGCUGGACGCGCUUGGGGUUGCAGCAGGACGGGGUGGGGUAGUGACUAAUGUCUGAAUCUGGGGUCGUCUGCGGCCACGAUGGACUGGGCCGAAGCGGGGAUGGAGCCGGACAGGGGUUGGGGCGGGGCCGGGUGGGGAGGCUGAAGUCUGAGUCUGCCUCUGCCCUGGGGGUUUUGUUCCGCUAGCCUGGGACCCGGGCAAGGGCCGGGGCUUUUUUCUGAUCCUGGGGCCAAGGCUACGAUCAAGGGUGGCACCAGAGGAGGAAGCAGACCCCGAACUGCGCUGAGCUAAGUCGUGAGCGGAAAGACUGACGCGGUCACAGCAGGCUGUCCCGCAGGCUGAGAUAGCCAAGAACCAUGAGAGUCCUCCUUCCUGUUCUGCUGAGCAUCUUGCUCUGUAUAGAGCCAGCUCAUUCUCUCAAAUGCUACAACUGUACCAAGGUACAGCAAUCCAGUCAGUGCACCUCUGUUCAGUGCCCGGGGUCAGCAACUCACUGUGGGAGUUUGGAAGCUGGAGAAAAAAAUGGGCCAGAGAACCAAAAGUUUCACUUCAAGGGCUGUACUAAUUCCUGUGAAAAUUUUUUCACGGAAUCAUUUUCAAAGGCCCAUAUGUUGAUCCCCCAAGCUAUCAUUGAAGUGGGUUAUUCCUGCUGUUCAAAAGAACUGUGUAAUGGGGCUGAUGGGAUCAGGAGCAGCCCCUUUGCUCUGCUAGGAGCACUCCUACUCAGCCUUGGACCUGCCUUCUUCUGGGCCAUGAUGUGAGGACUUCAGUCACCUCCUUAUGAAUGACCCUGUCUUGUGGUUUCCUUAUGCCUCAGGAAUAGAUAUGCACCUUUCUCUCUGCACGUCCCCUCUCCUGCUCUUAGACCAAUUGCAAACAUAAUUUACCAGAAUUUUAUCAGUUCUGUUAUCAGUCCUACAUAUACAUAGCAGAUACACAUCUACACAGAUAUAUGCACAGAAAAAAAAGCAGACAUUUACUUUUCCCUGAAGUUAUCAAUGCCUUUGCACUUCCUUGUCUAUUACUAGAGAGAGCUACACAGGAACUUAAAUUUAUUAAACAUUCUGUCCCACAGAGACCUAUUUCUCUAGUUAUCUUUCUUUUCUUAGUUUCAUUUAUACCUUUUACUUUUAUAUUGCAUCUUUUUCUAAAUAUAUCUAAUUCACCAUCCCUAGUUAGAAAGUCAUUUCUUCUUUAAAGGCUAAAAGAAACAAAAACAUAACAGCAAAAUCAUCUGAUGCAAAGAAUAACCGAGUUUACCAGACUAGGGAAUACUUGGUACCUAGAGUCCCCUACCUCUCCAGUAAAAGGAGGGAGAUGUAUUUUUUCCUCUUUUCUCUGGGUCACAAUUAAGCAUUAUAAUACAAUGUUUGAUUUCAUUUUUUAAAAAAUUAUUUUUCUUGUCAUUGUGUUUAUUGUUUUUUCAUGUUCUCUUUACUUUAUUCCUCAUCUAUUCCUGUUUUCCCAGGUUUUUCUUGGUUUCUUUUAUUUAUUGUUUCCUAUAAUACCAUUCACAGGCAGCUAGGUGGCACAAUGGGUAGAGUGCUGGGCUUAGUAUCAGGAAUUCUCAUCAUCCUGAGUUUAAAUCUGAUCUCAGACACUUACUAGCUUUGUAACUCUAGGCAAAUAACUUAACCCUGUUUGCCUCAGUUUUCUCAUCUGUAAAAUGAGCUAGGGAAAGAAAUGGCAAGUCAUUCCAAUAUCUUUGCCAAGAAAAGCCCAUAUUGGGUCACAAAGAGGCAUACACAACUGAAAUAACUGAACAACAGUGUCAUUCUUGAAAUGAUGGGUGCCCACUUGGUUUACUAGAUCCUAUUCCCAAUAUACUCAAGUCUCUGCAAAUGUAUAUAAACACUUUCCUUUGUAUUUUCUUCACUCAUUUUUUCCCCCAUGCUACUGGUAUUUUCCUCUUCCUUUUAAGGAAACUUUCUUUAAUGUCAUUAGCAACACAAUGAUCCCCAUUUAAACAAUGGUUUACCAGAUGGUGGCAAUGUUUCCCUAUACUCUCUAUACCCAGCAUUUUCCCCUUCUAAACUUUUGGACUGAACUCCUGUCUCCUUCUCUGGGGAAAUAACUCAAAAGAAAGAAGGAAGAAGACUCUGAUUGCUCAUUUCCAAUUUGCUCUCAAAAUUACUCUUUGAUUCAGGAGAGCCUCUUAUGCUCAGGUUUUUUUUUUUUUUUUGUUUUGUUUUAUUGGGUAAGGGAACAGUAUUGGAAAAAUAAUUUGAAAUAGAAAGAGCUCAGGACUUAAAGAGAUUCGAGUGGAUUGAAAACUGUAUUUUUUACUAAUUGUGUGAAACUGGGAAAAUUAGUCUCUCUGAUCCUCAGUUUCCUCAUUUAUACAUUGCUACUAAAUUGACAGGGAAAUUUCUUUAUAUGUUUUAAAUCCUUAUGGAAAUGUGAAUUAUUAUUAUCUUGUAGCUGCCAUCAACCUCUUACUGACUUAAUAAGAUCAUAGAUUUGGAGUUGAAAAAUACCUUAGAAGUCAUGGGAAAACCCUAUAGAAUCCAGUUCUCUCCUUUUAUAAAUAUGAAGGAGGCUUCCCUGGGCUCGGAAGCAUUAAAGAUAGGAUAUGAACUCAGUUUAUCCCUACUGAAACUAUUAUGUUGGUGGCACCAGCUAGCUUCCCUUUUGUGAGUUACAGAAGAGUUUUUUCCUAAUAUCAGAGAAACUCCCAUUCCUACAUCAUUUUUAGGGUUUAAUCUUUUUUCUUCCUUCCUCCCUUCCUCCCUUCUUUCCUUCCUUCGACAAUUGGAAUUAAAUGACUUAUCCAGGGUCAAACAGCUAGGAAGUAUUAAGUGUCUGAGGCCAGAUUUGACUGUUAAGUCCCCCUGAUUUUAGAGCUUGUCCUCUAUUCACUGCAAUCUAGUGCCCCGGGUUUUUUUUUUUUUUUUUAAAAAACAACUUCACUCCCAAAUGUAUCCCUUUGCAUCCUGCAUCAUACCCAGAGAGCCAGCCUCACAAAAAAACAAUUCAGAAGUUAAGUGCUUUGAACUUCCCCAGAUGGAGACACAGAGAAUGGAGGAAUAGCUCCCUAGGACAGGAGCAUGACUCAGAACUUUGGACCAGAAAAGACUUCAAGAUUCUAGAGACCUUCCUGAGAUAUUCACUGGUGGAUUCGAGAAAGCCAGGAUGAGGUAGAGCUAAGGAAAUGCAAUCAAAACAUCAAUUUAUGUGCUGCCUCCAACUCUGUAAAUAAUAAUAACCAUAGCAGUUAAAAAAAUCUGGAAAAUAUGCAGAAAAUGCCAAAGGAGAGGGGCUGUAAACAGAAAAAAUGAGUUUGACAUUGUCAAGCUCAAUUGUGAAAAUUUAUAGAUAUUUUAAAAAUAAUUAAACUGCAAAUGGUUCCAGUCCAAGAUUUCAUGUUCACCCUUUUUUCAGGGUAGAGAUGGGAGUAUGUAUUUGGAGAUUUAUGUUUAUUGAUGGUUGUCAAGUUUAUAACUAAAAAAACAAACUCAGAAAAAUCCCCCAGAUUUUUCCACUGACUACAUCCCCACCCUUUUUUCCUUCCUGGACUUCAUGCAGAAGAUAAGAAAUAUUGGAGGUGGAGCUAAACAUUCUCCAGAGAGCUCUCUGUCAGCACUCUGGAGCAAUUUAUAUUCAUCUCUAAACCUCUGGAAAUAUGUGUAAACUCUCUCCCUUCCUAUUUUCUUCUCUCAUUCUUUCCAGAUUCUGGGUAUUUUCCCUCUCCUUCUUGAAAACUUUGUUCUCUAAGAUGUUGAACUGGUUCCUUGCUGAUGGGGAGUCAGUUUCUGCAAAUUAGGAGGUACCAGAUAGACACUGGCCUGUCAUUCUUAGGUGGAGGCUGCAAUCCUAAAACAAUCGGAACAUCCCAAUGUGAAACCAGACCCAACAACAGCUCCGGUGGUGUCCUUACAAGUGCACAGUCUGUUGUGUUCACAAACACAUAACUUCUCGCUGAGUUUUGUUAGAUCUUUUCAGUUGUGUAUGACAUGGCCCCAUUUGGAGUUUUCUUGACAAAGAUACUGAAAUGAUUUGCUGUUUCCUUCAACUUAUUUGGUAGAUAAGGACAUUGAGGCAAACAGGAUUAAACAGCAUCACCCAGUAGAAAGUAGAAAGCCUGGAUUUGAUCUCAGAAAGAUGAGACUUCCUGAUUUCAAGCCCAAAGUUCUAUCCACUGUGCCACCUAACUGCCCUACUGACUAGACAAACACAUAAUUAAGUUUAAUUAAUUUCAAAUAUGCAUGUCACUAGUUACUCAGUGAUAAUUUCCAUUUACUAUUAUAUAUAUAUAUAUAUAUAUAUAUAUAUAUAUAUAUAUAUAUAUACCAUUCCUUCUGCUCCCUAAAUCGACUCACUACCUCAUUGAAUAUAUAAACACAUCAAAAAAUACCCUGCUGAACUUGAGGUUUGAAUGCUGGCUCAGAACUUUACGUGACCUGUGCCAUCCCUCUGGAAUGGAUAUAACAACACUGGCUUUAUCUACUUCACAUUUUAUCUAUAACUGCUUUGUAAACUUUAAAUCACUAUAAAAAUUCAAGCCAAUUUUAAAUCUGUGUUCUCAAAUAUAUAACUUAUCAAGGGAAGAAGAAGAGAACAAGGAUUUAUUAAGCACCUACUAUGUGGCAGGCACUGUCUUAAAUGCCUAUAAAUAUCUCAUUUGAUCCUUAUAACAACCCUGGGAGGUAGGUGCUAUAUAUCUCCAUUUUACAAUUGAGAAAACUGAGCUGAAGUGACUUUCCCAGGAUUAUAGAUUUAAUUGGGACAGAUCAGGGAAGACAGGUUUGAAUUCAAAUAUUCUUGAGCCUAGGCUCAAUGUUCAAACCACAGUACCACUGAACACAGGAAGCAUAACUCAUUGUGUUCACAGAUAAAAUACACAGUAUGGAUGGGUGGGAUGUACUUUAUUUCUCCCCUCCCUUCCAUUUCCCCAGUAAACUGCAGGUUCUUUUUCUAAUCUCCCCAAUCCUCCAUUUCCCUCGAACUCUUCCUGCUCCCCCACUUUGAAGAGCCAUUCUGAAUGUUGUCACUCAGUUCAGAGACAUCCCUCUUGCUCCUUAUGGGGGAUGGGUAGGAGACCCUCCUCCCAGGCUUGAAAAUCUUCUUUCAGCUUGACAUCCCCCAUCACGAGUUUUUCCCUUAGUCCAGAGGACUCUCUUCUUCCUCUUCUCAAGAUCUUACCCUUAAUCUCAGAAUUCCCCCCUCCCAGUUUCAGAGUCUCCUCCCAAAUCCUAAAUUUUCUCUCCUAGACCCAACUUCUCCCAUAAUCUUAAUGUUUCCAUUUUCUCCUUCUUUCCUAAUAUUUUUCAUGAUAUUAGAGACCCCCCUCCCAAUCUUGGCCUGGGUUUUACCUGGUUCCUUGUUCAAAAGGAGGAAGAGGACUGUCACACUUUUUGACUGUCUCAGCUGGAGCAAAGGAUGGGAAGGUAGUGAUGAUCAACAUUCAAGUAUUUACCCAGGAUUCCCUUUUUGCCAGUCAAGGAUAUCAUCCUCUUUCUCCCUCUCUCUCUCUCCUGAUGAUGUUUCUCCCUGAACCUUUUCCCUUUUCUCUCCCCCCUCCUCCCCUGCCCAGACUUGUCACCAGAUGAAAAUCCAGCCUAAUCUCACCUAUUUCCUUCUCUAUCUUCUAAUUCCUGGUAAAAAUGUACUUCUCUCUUGCUGUCCCAGGAAAUACCCAACUGUUCCACAGGUCUUUGCUUACAGCCUUUCCUCUGCUAUGAUCUCAAGAGAAGCAAGCCUGAAAUGUGGUAUGGGUGGGAAGGGUUGCCUUGGAAUACUGAGAUUCCUCGGCUUUCCCAGACUCCUUCUCUGGUCUCUUCUGGCUGAUUGGCUCAGGUAUUGCAUGCUCUUUCAGGAAAGCUCCAGUUAAGUCAAACUCCAAAGAUUAUGAAACCACAUACACACUAUGGUUUUAGAAAUGGUAAUCAUUCAAGAGACUACAAAAGAAAAAAAAAAACUCUAGCAUACUCAAGCUAUUUCAGACAUGGGUGACAAGUGAGUGCCUCUUACUUACAUGGAUUUUUAUCACAUCACAUCCUAUCUUGUGUCCUGAUGAGUUCAAUCUCCUUUUUGCCUUUUCUGUCUCUCCAAGCUCAGGGCUUCCUCACACACGAUAGCUUUUAAUACAUAGAUACAGUAUCAAAUCUUGACAUUGCUACCAUCUGGGUGAACAAAUUAUAUACUUUCGGUGGAUCUGCUUUCAGGAUUAUAGAUUUCUAGCUGUAACAGCUAUCUUUGAGGAGGUUAAAAAUAUUUCCUACUUUAUAGAGGAAGAAACUGAGGGGCUUUCUAAUUCCAAGUCCAGAAGUCUGCUUCUGGAAAUACAUUUAUCAAAGUCUUUUUUCUCCCCUGAGGCAAUUGAGGUUAAGUGACUUGCCCAGGGUCACACAGCUAAGAAGUGUUAAGGGUCUGAGAUUAAAUUUGAGAACUCAGGUCCUCCUGAAUUUAGAGUUGGUGCUCUGUCCACUGCACCAUCUAGCUGUUCCCUGUCAACGUCUUGAAACACUGAUUUAUCUACUAGGGCUCCUGAAUCUUCCAAUUUUGUCCUGUGAAGAGUGAGGGAGAGAGGGAGAGAUGGAUGCAAGACACACAUCCUGCAAAUGUUUUCAUUUUAGAUAGACAUGUAACUUCCUGGCUUGAAGUUAAAAAAUUUUCAAAGACUGAUUUUCUGCUCAUUGAAUUCCUUUCUCAGAACUCAACUGAAAAUACUGAUAUCAUGCUUUUUUUAAAUGAAAUUUUAUUUAUUUUUUUUACAUGACUAGAAUUUUUCUGUAUCUCUUUCCCAUCCUCUCCUAGAGCAAUAUCCCACACAACUAAUAUUUUAUAAUAAUAAAAAAGGAAAUGAAAGAAGAAAAAAAAUUCAAGAAAAUGGAUCAAUAAAUGGAAAAAGUCUGAAAAUAUAAGUCAUGUACUAUACCCAUGAACCUCCUUCCUUUGCAAAGGAACAUGGAUAGGUAUUUCUUCUCAUUUCCCUCCUUUGAGGUCAUGCUUGUUCUUUCUAAUUUUGCAAUAUUCACUUUUGAUUGUUUUGUCAUUCUUUCUAAUGAACAAACACCAUUAUUGAAGUCAUUGUGAAUAUAUAAUAUACAAUUUCCAAUGAAUAUUAUUUUAGAAAUUGCAACACAAAGUAUAAUCUUUUGUGUCUGCAUACUUUGCUUUGCAUCAAUUCUGUGCUUCUCUGGGUUGAACGCAUUUGUUAAUUUUUACAAUAUAGUAAUGUUACAAUAUGUUUUUGUUCCACAAUUUUGUUUAACCAAUCCCCCAUGUAUGGGUAACUAUAUUGUUUCACUUUCUUGGCUAUGAAACAAACAAACAAACACCUAUUGCUAAUAAAUAUUUUACUAUAUAGGGAAUUUUCUUCUAAUCAAUAGUUUCUUUGGAAGUAUGACCUUUGUAGUAUUUUAGGUUUCUUAUAUGGUCAUUAAUAGUUUGCAGUUUUUCUUUUGAGAAAUGUUUCUUUAUAUUUAUCUAUUGGGGAACAGUGUUUAGUUAUAUGCAUAUAUAUGUCUAUGUCUAUAGAUAUAUAUAUGUUUACACAUGCACACAUAUGUAUUUAUGUAUUUAUUUUGUUGUUCAGUUUUUUCAGUUUUGUCCAACUCUUUGUGACUACAUUUGAAGUUUUCUUGUCAAAGAUACUGGAGUAGUUUGCCCUUUUCUUCUUCAUAUAUGUUUACCAAUAUACAUAAUACAUGGCGUCCCAAAAGUCUUAGGGCAGUUUAAAUCCAUUAAAGCUUAUAUAAAGGAUGAGCUCCAAAUUAGUUAAUGUUAAUUACUUUGAUUAAUUUUAGUUAAAUGAAGAAUUAAGUUUCCUUUCCUUAGGAAGAGCUAACUAUAAUAGCUAAGCUAACAUAAAUGUUCCCUUAAGUCUAAAUUAUCUAUAGAUUUAGUGAAUAGGUACUUUGAUAAGAUUUGCUAGUAGAUAAGAUAGGAAAUAUAUCUUUAUAAAAAAUUAAGAUUAAGUUUAGAUAUCGUAGGACUCUUUAUAAAGAUCAAAUUCUCUUUUCAGACAGUUUGAGGGUAGGAGUUGACUUCCACUUUACCAUAAACUCCUCUUUUUUUGUAAGUUAUUUCUCUUUAGUGAGCUACAUAGACUCAUAGCAGAAAUCUUUAAGAAAUCGCAGAAAAAUAUUUUCCGAAAAGUUCACAGAAUGAUAGACAUGAGGUCUAAACCAAUGAAGCACUGAAUUUAAUACUAUAGAAAUUCCCUUUAAGCCCCUAACAUAUCCAGAGGUUGAAUACUGCAAAUUUACCUAUUUCUUUGUAAAUUCUAUAAAUCAUCCUCAUGUUAUUUUUUCCCCUUAUAAAGAUAAGAUCUAUAAAACUGGCAAACUGUCACUAAUUACAAAGGGAUUAGUUGACUGUGAUUGCCACCUUUGCUUUUAAAUCAUUAUUGUUCAUUUGGAAAUAAUAAGCCUCAGGAUUUUUUUCUUAGAUAAAAAAUCCAGCACUUAUAUAUUAUUCAUCUUUAUAUCUUGGACACUAAACCCUGAGAAAUUUGAUACAAAUUUCCCUCCCUCAUUUUUAUUCCCUUCUAGAUGCAGUAAUUCAUGUAGAAGGUUUUCAAUUUUAUAUAAAGUUAUCUAGUUCAUCUUUUGUAAUUGCCUUUAUCUCUUUGAUUAACAACACAUCUCUCCAUAGUUGAGAAAUAUAUAAUAUUUUCUUCUCUUCUAAAUUUUUACUAAUUUUAAUAUUAAGGUCCUUUUUCAAUUUUGAAUUUAUUGUGGAAAAUAGUGUAAGCUGUUGGUCCUAGCCUGAUUUCUGCCAGACUGUUUUAUAGUUUUCCUACCUUUUUUUCAUCAAAUAAGGAGUUCUUCCUUAAGUAUUUGUGGUUUUCAGUUUAUUAAGCACUAAGUUAUUGAGGUUUAUUAUUUUAAAUUUUCUCUUGUCUAGUUUCAUUGAUUAAUUUCUCUGUUUUUAAACUAAUGGAAAAUGGUUUUGCUAUUAAUAAUAUAAUAAUAUAGUUGGAAGUAUAGAGAGGUAUUGCCCCAUCAUCUCUGACUUUUUCAUUAUUUCCCUUGAUAUUCUAAAUCUAUUGUUUCUUUAAAUGAAUUUUGUUAUUAUCUCAGGGGGAGGGGGAAAGAUUCUGUAGUACAGUGUUGUCAAAUGAAAUUCCUGCAGGUCACAUAUUAAAAACUUCACAAAUUAACACUAUUGUUCUAGUAUAUUUUUAUAUAUUUUGUUAAACAUUUCCCCAUGAAACUGGGCCUUACUCAGAAGUUUUGCAGGGAGCUGGCAGUUGUAGUUUUACAUAUCUUGCUGUAGAAUCCCAAUGGAUGGUAUGGUUGGGUAGCACAAUGUAUAGAGCAUUGGGCUUGGAGUCAGGAAGAUCUGAAUUCAAAUGUAGCUUCUGUGUGAUUCUGGGCAAGUAUCUUCUGUUUGUUUCAGUUUCCUCAUCUAUAAAAUGGAGAUUAUAAUAGCACCUACUUCCCAGGGUUGUUGUGAGGAUUAAUUGAAAUAAUGAUUGAAACAUACUUAGCGCAAUGACUGGCACAUUGUCAGUACUAUAUAAAUGUUAAUUAUUAUUAUUAAUAUUUAUUAUUAUUACUACUAAGUUAAUUAUUAUUACUACUAUUAUAGCAGUUUUAAUGCUGCUAUAAUAUGAGGUAUGAGUGUUGAAUAUUCUUUCAGCUAUAUAAGUUGUUUUUUUUUUUUAAAAGGAGUACUUUGUAAUUAAAUCUACUCAAAUAUUUUGUGUAUUUUGAUAGGUUGAUUCUCAAGUAUUUUAAAGUUAUUUUGAAUGCAUUGUCUUUUUUUUUCUAGAAUUAUCUCUUGGAUUUUAUUGCUAUUAUAAAAAUUAUAUUGAUUUUUGAUGGUUUCUUAGGUAGCCUGCAAUUUUGCUGAAGCUAUUAUUUAAUUAGUUUCUUUGCUGCUUUCAUAGGUUUUUCUAAGUAAACUAUCAUGUCACCAGUAAAUACCGAUAGUUGUUAUUUCAUAUUUGCUUAUCUUAACAAUGUUAAUUUCUUUUUCCUGCCUUAUUUCUAUUUCUGAUUCUUCCAUAACUAUGUCAAAUAAUAGUGGCCAUAGUUGGCAUCUUUUCUUAACUUCUGGAUUAUUAGGAAAGCUUCUAUUUACAUUGUUUAUGAUGCUUAUUUUUGAUUUUAGACAUAUAUUUUAUGAUAUUAAACAUGUCUCAAAAUGCCUGUACUUAAGUUUUUGUCUUUAUUUAGUUAGUUUGGUUAGUAAAAAUGAGUUCUAUAUAUUGUCAGAAGCUUUCUCUGCUUGUGUGCUUUAGGAUUAUUUUAUUUUAUUUUAAAAAUGAUUGUUUAAUGUUGAUUUAAUAUUGAUUGCUUUCCUAAUGUUAAAUCAUUACUGUUUUGAAUGUAAUUAACUAUAAUGAAUAAUAUGUAUAAAAUCCUGGCAGGAUUUUAUUUAAAAAUUUUUGUUCAAUAUUCAUUAAUAUUAGUUAAUAGUUCUCUUUUUUUGCCAUAUUCUUCCCUGUUUUAGAUAUUACAAUUAUUUUUGUCACAUAUAAAGACUCUGGCAGAAUGCUUUCUUUCUCAAUAUUGAUGAAUACUUUGUAUAGUAUUGGUAAUUAUUGUUCUUUAGAAGUUUGAUAGAAUUUCCUAUGAAUCCAUCAGGACUAGGUGUCCCUCUUUUCCCUCUCCAUCUUUGGUAGUUCAUUAAUAACUAGUUCUGUUUUCUUUUCUGAAAUUGAUUUAAUAUUUCUAUUUGAUUUUCUAUUAGUUUGGUUAUUUUACAUUUUAAAAUAUUGCUUUACUUUUUGUGUGUGUGUUUUCAGUUUUGUUAACAUGUAAGUGUUCUACAGUUCUGAUAAUUAUAUUUAUUUCUUCUGGUUUUGUUGUGAUUUAACCUUGCUUGUUCAUUAUUGUAUUGAUUUAAUUUUUUUCUGUCCUCUUCUUUUUAAUCCGAUUGGCUAAAAGUUUAACAGUUAUGUUAGUCUCUUCAAAGAAUGAAUGUUUAAUUUGAUCAUUUUAUUUAUAUUUUGACUUUCAUUUUAUCUAUAUUUUGACUUUCAUUUUAUCUAUUUCUCCUUUAACCUUUGAUAUCUCCUCUUACAUUUAUUUUAGAUUAGAUUAUUUGAUAAUUCUAAUUUUUAAAAUUGUAUAUACUGUCUCCAGUUGAUAAAUUGUCAAAGGAUAUGAAAGAAAAGUUUUCAGAAGAUGAAAUCAAAGCUAGUCAUAUGGGAAAUUGUCAUGUGCAAAAAAAUGCUCUAAAUCAUGAGUAAUUAGAGAGAUGCAAUUUAAAACAACUCUGAAGUACUACUUCACACCUAUAAGCUUGACUAAGAUGACAGAAAAGGAAAAUGAACAAUGCUAGAAGGAAUGUGGAAAAAAAGGCACACUAAUACAUUGUUGGUGGUACUAUGAACUGGUCCGACCAUUCUGGAGAAAAAUUUGGAACUAUGCCUAAAGGGAAAUAAAACUAUGCAUACCCUUUGACUCAGUGAUAUCUAUAUCUCAAAGAAAUCAAGGAAAGAGGAAAAUAGCAUAUAUAUAUAUAUAUAUAUAUAUAUUUAUAGAAGCUUUUUUGUGGUGGGAAAGAAUUGGAAUCUGAAGUAAUGCUCAUCAAUUGGAGAAUAGCUAUACAAGUUAUGGUAUUUGAUUAUGAUGAAAUACUAUUGUAUUUCUGAUAACUGAUGAAGGAGAUGAUUUUUAGAAAAAUCUGGAAAGAUUUAUGUUAACUGAUACAAAGUGAAGUGAGCAGAAGUAGGAAAGCACUGUAUGCAGCAAUAAUGAAAUGAUAAUAAAUUAUGAAAAACUUAGUUACUAUAAUAAUACAAUUAUACAUGUCAAUUCUAAAGGAUUCAGGAUGAAAACAUACUCUUUUUCAUAUGGAAAAACAAUGGUCUCUGACUGCAGAUUAAAACAUAUUUUUUUCUUUAUUUUAUCCCCUUCCCUCAUAACAGGGCUAAUAUGGAAAUAUGUUUUCAUUGACUUUGUAUAUAUAAUGGAUCUCACAUUUCUUGCCUUCUUAAUAGAAAGGAGAGGUAAUAGGAAAAAAGGGGAGAAUAUGGAAUUGAAAAUAAAUAUUAAAAUAAAAAGAACACAUUUCAAAAAUAUAUAUUCUGUUCAUUAAUCCUCUCCUUUUCUAUUUUGUUAAUGUAUUUUUUACGGAGUAUUCUAUUUCUUCAGAGAAAUGCUUUAUUGCAUCUGGGAAAUUUUGGUGUGCUGUUUCAUAUUAUGCUUUUUCUUCACAUAAUAAAUUGUUUGUAGACUUUGCUAUUUGACUUCUCAUUAUUAAAAAUUACACUUUAAAGCCACCAUUUGAAUCCAGGUCUUUUGUUUCUGUAACCCAAACUGUUAUUAUUUACUUUAACAAAUUACAUUAUGAUUUGUAAAGGGUAUGUUUACUAUUUCUGCCUAGUUACAUUUAUUUGCAAAAUCUCUGUGCCCUAAUAUGUACUCUAUUUUUUAUAAAAGUUUCAUGUGGUGAUGAAAAAUACCUAUAUUCUUUACUAGUCUCUCUCUCUCUCUCUCUCUCUCUCUCUCUCUCUCUCUCCUGAGGCAAUUGGGGUUAAGUGACUUGCCCAAAAUGUUAAGUGACUGAGGUCAGCUUUGAACUCAGGUCCUCCUGACUUUAGGACCAGUGCUCUAUCUACCACACCAACUAGCUGCCCCUCUUUAGUAGUCUCUUGAGGAAAACAUUAUAUAUAUAUAUAUAUUUUGCUCUGAUUUCUCCAGCAUUUUGUUUAAAUCUAUUCUUCACCUUUUUUGUUAGAUUUGUUCAAAAGAAAAGUACAUUAGAUUUCCUGAUGUUAUUGUAUUACUAUCUCUUCUUGCCUCAGCUAAUUUUUUCUUUAUGAAUUUCAAUGCCAAUGCACUUGAAACAUGUAAUCAUGGUAUUGGAUUGUUGUCUAUGGUUUUCUUUGGUGUAACAUGGUUUCUCUUUUUUGUAUUGUAAAUAUUUGCUUUUACAUAGUUUGAUAGCAUGAUUGCAACUCUUGCUUUUUUGGAUGAGUUUGCUACAUAAUACAUUUUGAUUCAG
rnacentral:lncRNA from 1 species